UACGGGGGGGGCAAGCGUUGCUCGGAAUUACUGGGCGUAAAGGGCGCGUAGGCGGGAUGGCAAGUCGGUCGUGAAAUCCCUCGGCUCAACUGAGGAUCGUCGAUCGAUACUGCCGUUCUUGAGGAUUGCAGAGGAGACUGGAAUUCCCGGUGUAGCGGUGAAAUGUGUAGAGAUCGGGAGGAACACCGGUGGCGAAGGCGGGUCUCUGGGCAAUUCCUGACGCUGAGGCGCGAAAGCGUGGGGAGCAAACGGG
rnacentral:rRNA from 1 species